rnacentral:rRNA from 1 species
UACAGAGGUCUCAAGCGUUGUUCGGAUUCAUUGGGCGUAAAGGUGCGUAGGUGGCGCUGUAAGUCAGGUGUGAAAUUCGGAGCUUAACUCCGAAACUGCAUUGAUACUGCGGUGCUUGAGGACUGAGAGGAGACUGGAAUUACGGUGUAGCGUGAAAUGCGUAGAUAUCGUAAGGAAGACCAGUGGCGAAGGCGGGUCUCUGGACAGUUCCUGACGCUGAGGCACGAAGGCCAGGGAGCAACGG